UUACCAGGCCUUGACAUGCAGAGAACUUUCCAGAGAUGGAUUGGUGCCUUUCGGGAACUCUGACACAGGUGCUGCAUGGCUGUCGUCAGCUCGUGUCGUGGGAUGUUGGGUUAAGUCCCGUAACGAGCGCAACCCUUGUCCUUAGUUACCAGCACGUUAUGGUGGGCACUCUAAGGAGACUGCCGGUGACAACCGGAGGAAGUGGGGAUGACGUCAAGUCAUCAUGGCCCUUACGGCCUGGGCUACACACGUGCUACAAUGGUCGGUACAAAGGGUUGCCAAGCCGCGAGGUGGAGCUAAUCCCAUAAAACCGAUCGUAGUCCGGAUCGCAGUCUGCAACUCGACUGCGUGAAGUCGGAAUCGCUAGUAAUCGUGAAUCAGAAUGUCACGGUGAAUACGUUCCCGGGCCUU
rnacentral:rRNA from 1 species